UUUUCAGAAGCUCUCUCCAGAAUCCAUUCCUCUAAUUAAACUAGAAGUUGCAUGAUGAGCUGUACCAGUAAGCAUUAAAACCACAAGAGUUUGAAUAGAUUAGUAGAGACUUGAGGACUAAACUGGCAGGAUUUUUCUGCCUUUUUUGCAUCAAGGUUUACUUAAUAAAUCGUGUGGUGCUCUUGUCUGCAUCUUUCUUAUUAAUGUUUAUCUAAGAUAUAUAGUAGCAACAAAUGCCAUAGAAACAUACCAACUAAUGCUGCAAUAUAGUAUUUGUCUCUUUUACAGAAGUUUGUCUUUUUAUCUGUAUGCAAUUUUAUUGAAGAAAAUUGGCUACUCUUUUAAGUUGAUUCAGCUCUGUUGCCUGCCAGUCUAGAUUAUGAGGAAUGUCUGCACAUCUUCUUUCACUUUCUGACUCAGGACAGACUGUUUAAAAAAACAACAAUCCAUGAAGAAAAUAGCCAGGGAUGAAUAACUUUGAAAGAAGACUAUGGUCUAUACACUACUUUUAAAUAAUAUGUCAGGAAUAGGUAUGACCAAGACAAAGACACAAGUAAGGAUGGGAAAAAUAAAUAACUUUGUCUUAACUGAACUUUAUAUUUAAACUACUUCAAGUUAAACUUAAUUGAUUUAAUGAUUUCACUCUUAAAAUUACAUUUUGGUAACAAUUCUUGGAGAGGAUCUGGACAUUGCAUCUUAGAUGUGAGACUGCCUUUAUGGAGCCUUGAGUUUCUUUUAGAACCAUGGUUGAAGCAUCCUUAUUCUCAACAAGUAUGUGCUUUUUGUUUUACUUAAGCUAAAUUGCCAUAGAAAGUCAAAUAAAAAAAAUCUUCAAAGCAAGUUGCAAGAUAUGUCAAAUCUCUUGAAAGAAGGAGAGGAACAAGGAAAAGAGACAGCGUAUCUAGACAUCUACCACACAAUAUACAACACCUCUCAGUUCCACAUGCUGUUGGGAAUGUGCUGAGUUAUACAAUAUCAGUUUGAGAUGUGCAGAGUUUGUUUUGUGAAUUGUAACAUUUUUGCUGUUACUACACUGGAAGGUGCCAAGGAGAGACUGCCAGUUUUGGCAACAUUUGUCUAUCUCAAAGAAGCAUACAAACAGCCCAGAAGGAAAUUGUUUGUAGCUUAUUUGGAAUAUUUGAUUGUCAGCCUAAUACACAUGGCCACAUGCAAUAUAAUCUUCGUGAUUGGUCUAGGACUGUUUUUCAGAGACCAAAGUGCAAAUAGGGUGAUUUUUAACUACACUUGAUGAACAGGAGACUGAAUAUUGUUGGGCAUUUAAUUUCUUAUUUUUCAAAGGGUUCAAAGAGUUACUUUAAUGUUUAAAAUAUAUGGCAUUUUAUCAUCAUGCAGGAAUUUAGAGAUCCAAAAUCCACAGUCCCAAGAAAUAAGAAAUGAAGAGGGCAAUGCCAACUUGGCUUCAGGAAAUCAAAGAUCAAGCAACAUUGCAGAAGGUGAAGCAGCACCUCAGUCACCAGCAACACAGUAUGAUGCAGUUAUCAUGGGGAACUGAGAAA